AUGCGUGCAUGGGGCCGUCCCACUAACAAACGACGCCGCAAUCAGCGCUCGGGCGACGUCGUUAGCCGACGUGCAUGCAAAAUUUCCUUCUACGUCACCCCGUCUCGCCGCCGCCGCGAUCUGCACGUGCUGCCACCGUACGCCGCCCGUCGCCCCACACUCCAAAACGGCGCCGGUGCGGCCGCGCCGGCCUGCCCUGACCUGACCCGUCGCCUUGUUUAUGUUGUCGCUGCCUCUCCCACCGUCGCCCCACCGUACAAACUCCGUCGGUGCGCCCGCGCCGGCUUGCGUCCCCUCACCCGUCGCCACUAUACGCCGCCGGUGCCUCUCCCAUCGUCGCCUUCGUUUCUCUUAGGAACUAUAAUUGCACCAGUGUCUCAUGAAUACGUUCCGAAAAAGUACUAUGCCUUAGUGAAAAAUAUUAAGUUGAUAAGGAAGUUCAACUGGAAUGCAUUCACUUCACGAUUCUGUUUAUCGGAGAUUGGUAAGCUUCUGCAGGACGGCCAUGUUAGGCAGUGGCCCCAGGGGAACCUCGCCCUUUUGCAAUACCUAUACUGGGAGAAGGUGCAACCAAUCACCGGUCCAAAAUAUGAUCCGUUGGCAUUGUUGAGCCCGCUGAUGAGGAACUGGACGGAAGAUAUGGCUGUGAGAAGAGACAAAUACGACU
rnacentral:rRNA from 1 species